CAUGCACGUCUAAGUACUCGCCUUGGUCUAUUUAAAGUGAAACCGCGAAUGGCUCAUUAAAUCAGUUAUGGUUCACUGGACCGUACCACAUCCUACUCGGAUAACUGUGGUAAUUCUAGAGCUAAUACAUGCAACUAGGCCCUGCCCGGCCGCUCCGUCCGUCAAAACGACGGUCGGUCGGAAAGGGCGCCAUUAUCAGCUCAAAACCGACCGGGUCGCCCGCCGUCCUCUGGACGGGCAGGGCUCCCGUUCUCGUUGACCCUUUGACGACUCUGGAUAACCUCCUAGCGGAUCGCCGGUCAAACUUAGGUCGGCCGGGUGUUUCGGCAUCCGCGCCCGACCUAACGGCGACUGGUCUUUCGAAUGUCUGCCUUAUCAACUGUCGACGGUAGGUUAGACGCCUACCGUGGUCGUAACGGGUGACGGGGAAUCAGGGUUCGAUUCCGGAGAGGGAGCCUGAGAAACGGCUACCACAUCCAAGGAAGGCAGCAGGCACGCAAAUUACCCAAUCCCCGAACGGGGAGGUAGUGACGAAAAAUAACGAUACGGGACUCUUAACGAGGCCUCGUAAUCGGAAUGAGUCCGCUCUAAAUCCUUUUAACGAGGAUCUAUCGGAGGGCAAGUCUGGUGCCAGCAGCCGCGGUAAUUCCAGCUCCGAUAGCGUAUAUUAAAGUUGCUGCGGUUAAAAAGCUCGUAGUUGGAUUUGGGUUUUCGGGCCGGCGGGCCGCCGCCUUCGAGCGGCGCGUCUCCCGCCGCGCCCCCGGAACCGCACGGUCGCAGAGGCCCCCGCGGUGCUCUUGAGUGAGUGUCCGCCGGUUCGGGUCGCCGAACGUUUACUUUGAAAAAAUUAGAGUGCUCCAGGCAGGCCGGUAAAGCGUUGUUUAAAAAAGACCCGCGCCUGAAUAGUCACGCAUGGAAUAAUGAAAGAGGACCGGUGGUCCUAUUUUGUUGGUUUUCGGGAUUUUCCGCCGUCAUGAUUAAGAGGGACGGCCGGGGGCAUUCGUACCGCGGCGCGAGAGGUGAAAUUCUAGGACCGCCGCGAGACGAACCGUUGCGAAAGCAUUUGCCAAGAAUGUU
rnacentral:rRNA from 1 species